GUUGACAAGAGUAAGAAAUGGGAAGGUGAGCACUGCCCAUCCAUUCACUGGCCCGCUGACCCGCCUGUAGUGAUACAUGGCAGAAUAAACUCAUAAACCAGCCGCAUCUCUUGACCUCUCGGAAUAAAUGGAAACAGAAGAGGCUUGAUGAUGAUCAUUGUGUUUAAGGAUUAGGAUCUGAACAGAGGAUGAUAGAUACCCAAGGUGCACCUUGAAAACAGGAACCCAGGCCAGGCCACUGAGAGUCAAAAAUCCCCCAAUUUUAAGGAAGUUUUCCCUUUAUGAAUUUUUCACAGCCCCUGCUGUCCUGUUGAGAGCAUGCCAGUGCCAGACCUCUCACAAGGAGGGGGCAUCUCUGAGUUUGCGAAGAAAAUAUUAUAGAAACAUGAGGAAGAAAGAAGGAGUAAAGUUGACCAAAUUAAAGGAUUUGCUCAGAUAUGAUACAAAACACACAGCCUGAACCAACAUCUCCACUGGAAGCCUGUUUUACUGAUGAGGAGGAGGAGGCCCAAGGAGGCUAAGUGCUGUCCCCAGAGUCACACAUCAAGCAUCUCCUUCAUGCCAAGCAGCUAAAUACUGAAACUCAGAAAGGACCGAGACAUGGGUUCUAGUGAGAAGGCAUGACGCAUCGCUCCUACAUGAAGUAGAGAUUGAACGAGAUGCCAGAUGGAAGGAUGCGGAUGAAGAGGACAGGAAUAAUCAGUGUUUACAGCAGGGGAAGUGGUGAUGCUUGUGCUGCAUUGGACCCGGGUUCACCUGUGGAAUUAUAAGCCCUUCAACCAGCUCCUUCAGUUCAAUGAGAACAACCUUGGGGAAGCCUUGGGGUUUCAUCUUUCACAUCGUGGGCAUGGCCUGUGCUGAUAUCCUGGGGCUGGUGAGAGGGCCCAGAGCAGUAAUGGGAGCCACAAAUCUUUUUAAAGUGGUUCCCCACAAUGGGGAUAGAGCAGGAAUCGCAGGGAAGGUCAACCCAACCUGGGUCCUAGGAGAGCCUUCUCCUUGCAACUUGAAACUUGCCAAGUGCUCUCACUUCAAGGCACACAGACCUAAGAGGAUUAAGGUAAGUAUCCUCCUAAAAGCUUGAAAAAACAAAGAUUAGUUUUUAGCAUCACAAAGAAACCUGUAUUUAUAUGGGAUCUGAAGGAGAGGAAAUAUGUUAAGACUUUUGGAGUGGGGGUGGAGGUCAGGAGAGAGACUGUAGACAGAAAAGACAAAUCAUUCCUCAGCAAGAGCGAGAACAAUGUUUAGAAAGAAAUAGGUUGAAAUUGAGAUUUAGGCAAAAGCAACAAGACAUGUAAAACAAAACCUUAUUUAGUUUAACUUACUGACUGAGCAUUUGUGAUUGGACCAAACAGUGGAUUCUUUUUGUUUUUUUCCCACUGUGCAAGGGUGAUGAGGAUUAUUAGGAAUAAUUAAGUCAGCACUGCAAGGACUUGUCCAUCUUCAUGAAAAAAAAUAUGUAUUUCUUUCAAUAACUUCAAAAAUACUUUACUACAUAAUCACAGUGGAGUAAAUCACUUAAACUCUUUUGAUCCUCAGUUUCCAAUGUAGUUUGAUUAAAUCAGUAUUUAAGAAAAAAAUUUUGGAGGUUGCAAAACUAUUGAAAAGUCUCAAGGAAUCCAUAAACCUCAGGAAAAUGCACUUACAUGCAAAAUUAUGCAUAGCAUUAUUUUGCACUGAAGAUAGAUUCCUCUCAUAUUGUCACCAAUAAGAUCAAUUUUCAACAACAUUUUGUCUCUUUCACUUUUUUUUUCCCAGACAAAAAUGAAUGGCUACUUCAUCCUCUUUCAAAAGGAAGUAGAUAGCAAUUUCAUAAAUAAAAUAAAAAGAAAACUUUCA
rnacentral:lncRNA from 1 species